UAAAGACUUGUGGAGAAUUCAGGUCAAUUCUGGAGGUUUUUCUUCAAACACUUUCAAAUUGCAAAGCAAGGUCUGUCCUUGCUUACUUGAAGUGGGUUCCUGUUCAUAUGUGGACACGCUGCUAGCCUGCAUAGAAGAGACAGAAGAUUUGUUCAACCCGCUUCUGAAGGCAGUGGAGACAAUUGAUGCUCUCUCAUGGCUGGUGCAGGAGCUUAUCCUAAGAGUGAAACAUCCUAGGACAGAAGCAAAAAGUGAAUGAGGAUAAAUAUUAACGAAAAAGGAGUCCUUGGAACAAGAUGAAUCUCUUCGUAUCAGUUUUGAAAUAGAAGUUUAGCAUUGACUUUGAGAGCUUUUCUGGCAAGUGAUGGAAGCAAGAACUGUACUGCUGAGAAGAGCAAUUAUUUGAAAGAAGGCUUGAAUAACUUUUGAAAACUAGAAGACUCAAUUUCAGCCAGAUCCUACAAUCAGAGAAAUGCAAGCGUUGUGCACUUUUAUGCCCCUUUCAGCAUUCAGAAUGAACUUGAAGUUGAUGUUAAUGCACAUGACUUAGAAGAUAC
ensembl:lncRNA